GAUCCUGGCUCAGGAUGAACGCUAGCUACAGGCUUAACACAUGCAAGUCGAGGGGCAUCAGGGUGUAGCAAUACACCGCUGGCGACCGGCGCACUGGUGAGUAACACGUAUCCAACCUGCCCUUUACUCGGGGAUAGCCUUUCGAAAGAAAGAUUAAUACCCGAUGGUAUAACAUGACCUCCUGGUUUUGUUAUUAAAGAAUUUCGGUAGAGGAUGGGGAUGCGUUCCAUUAGAUAGUAGGCGGGGUAACGG
rnacentral:rRNA from 1 species